CGGGGCGUAGCGCAGCCUGGUAGCGCACCACAAUGGGGUUGUGGGGGUCGCGAGUUCGAAUCUCGCCGCCCCGACCA
rnacentral:tRNA from 3 species